CGCCUCUUGCAAAAUAAAUGAAUAAGAGGUCCCGCCUGCCCUGUGACUAUGUGUUUAACGGCCGCGGUAUUUUGACCGUGCGAAGGUAGCGCAAUCACUUGUCUUUUAAAUGGAGACCUGUAUGAAUGGCAUAACGAGGGCCUAACUGUCUCCUUUUUCAAGUCAAUGAAAUUGAUCUUCCCGUGCAGAAGCGGAAAUAAUCACAUAAGACGAGAAGACCCUAUGGAGCUUUAGACAGAAAGCAGACCAUGUUAAGCACCCUCACAUAAGAGACUAAACCGGAUGUUUACUGCCUAAUGUCUUUGGUUGGGGUGACCGCGGCGAAACAAAUAACCUCCGUGUAGAAAAAGGGCUACGCCCUUCAAACCGAGAGCUACAGCUCAAAUGAACAGAAUAUCUGACUAAACAAGAUCCGGCAACGCCGAUCAACGGACCGAGUUACCCUAGGGAUAACAGCGCAAUCCCCUUCUAGAGCCCAUAUCGACAAGGGGGUUUACGACCUCGAUGUUGGAUCAGGACAUCCUAAUGGUGCAGCCGCUAUUAAGGGUUCGUUUGUUCAACGAUUAACAGUCCU
rnacentral:rRNA from 1 species